AUCUUAAAAUUUCAGAGAGUAGCAGUUUUCCCAGGGCAAAUCUUAUCCAUUGCACUCUGUGCUGACUCCUAGAAUUUCUCCAAAUGCAGAAAACUCUACUGCAUAAUUUGUGGUAGUGUAUUAGUGCUCUC
rnacentral:snRNA from 1 species